AUUGAACGCUGGCGGCAUGCUUUACACAUGCAAGUCGAACGGUAACAGGCCGCAAGGUGCUGACGAGUGGCGAACGGGUGAGUAAUGCAUCGGAACGUGCCCAGUCGUGGGGGAUAACUGCUCGAAAGAGCAGCUAAUACCGCAUACGAUCUAUGGAUGAAAGCGGGGGACCGUAAGGCCUCGCGCGAUUGGAGCGGCCGAUGGCAGAUUAGGUAGUUGGUGGGGUAAAGGCUCACCAAGCCAACGAUCUGUAGCUGGUCUGAGAGGACGACCAGCCACACUGGGAGUGAGACACGGCCCAGACUCCUACGGGAGGCAGCAGUGGGGAAUGUUGGACAAGGGGGGCAACCCGGAUCCAGCAAUGCCGCGUGCAGGAAGAAGGCCUUCGGGUUGUAAACUGCUUUUGUACGGAACGAAACGGUCUGGGUUAAUACCCUGGGCUAAUGACGGUACCGUAAGAAUAAGCACCGGCUAAAUACGUGCCAGCCGCCGCAGUAACAC
rnacentral:rRNA from 1 species